UACAGAGGUCCCAAGCGUUGUUCGGAUUCAUUGGGCGUAAAGGGUGUGUAGGUGGCGCCGUAAGUCGGGUGUGAAAGCCCCGGGCUCAACCUGGGAAUUGCAUUCGAGACUGCGUAGCUAGGGUGCGGAAGAGGGAAGCGGAAUUUCCGGUGUAGCGGUGAAAUGCGUAGAUAUCGGAAGGAACACCAGUGGCGAAAGCGGCUUCCUGGUCCAGCACCGACGUUCAGGCACGAAAGCGUGGGGAGCAAACAGG
rnacentral:rRNA from 1 species